rnacentral:tRNA from 1 species
GGAGAGGUAUCGAAGUGGUCAUAACGAGGCGGUCUUGAAAACCGUUUGUCCGAAAGGGCGCGAGGGUUCGAAUCCCUCUCUCUCCG